AGAGUUUGAUCAUGGCUCAGGUUGAACGCUGGCGGCAGGCCUAACACAUGCAAGUCGAGCGGAAACGAGAACAGCUUGCUAUUCGGCGUCGAGCGGCGGACGGGUGAGUAAUGCCUGGGAAAUUGCCCUGAUGUGGGGGAUAACCAUUGGAAACGAUGGCUAAUACCGCAUAAUAGCUUCGGCUUAAAGAGGGGGACCUUCGGGCCUCUCGCUUCAGGAUAUGCCCAGGUGGGAUUAGCUAGUUGGUGAGGUAAAGGCUCACCAAGGCGACGAUCCCUAGCUGGUCUGAGAGGAUGAUCAGCCACACUGGAACUGAGACACGGUCCAGACUCCUACGGGAGGCAGCAGUGGGGAAUAUUGCACAAUGGGCGCAAGCCUGAUGCAGCCAUGCCGCGUGUAUGAAGAAGGCCUUCGGGUUGUAAAGUACUCUCAGCAGUGAGGAAGGGUGUGUAGUUAAUAGCUGCAUACUUUGACGUUAGCUGCGGAAGAAGCACCGGCUAACUCCGUGCCAGCAGCCGCGGUAAUACGGAGGGUGCGAGCGUUAAUCGGAAUUACUGGGCGUAAAGCGCAUGCAGGUGGUUUGUUAAGUCAGAUGUGAGAGCCCGGGGCUCAACCUCGGAACCGCAUUUGAAACUGGCAGGCUAGAGUACUGUAGAGGGGGGUAGAAUUUCA
rnacentral:rRNA from 1 species